AGUGAACGCUGGCGGUAGGCCUAACACAUGCAAGUCGAACGGCAGCACACUAAGAGCUUGCUCUUACGGGUGGCGAGUGGCGGACGGGUGAGGAAUACAUCGGAAUCUACUUUUUCGUGGGGGAUAACGUAGGGAAACUUACGCUAAUACCGCAUACGACCUACGGGUGAAAGCAGGGGAUCUUCGGACCUUGCGCGAUUGAAUGAGCCGAUGUCGGAUUAGCUAGUUGGCGGGGUAAAGGCCCACCAAGGCGACGAUCCGUAGCUGGUCUGAGAGGAUGAUCAGCCACACUGGAACUGAGACACGGUCCAGACUCCUACGGGAGGCAGCAGUGGGGAAUAUUGGACAAAGGGCGCAAGCCUGAUCCAGCCAUACCGCGUGGGUGAAGAAGGCCUUCGGGUUGUAAAGCCCUUUUGUUGGGAAAGAAAAGCAGCAGGUUAAUACCCCGCUGUUCUGACGGUACCCAAAGAAUAAGCACCGGCUAACUUCGUG
rnacentral:rRNA from 1 species